rnacentral:rRNA from 1 species
CUACGGGGGGCUGCAGUCGAGAAUCAUUCGCAAUGGGGGGAACCCUGACGAUGCGACGCCGUGUGGACGAAGAAGGCCUUCGGGUUGUAAAGUCCUUUCGCUUGGGAGCAAAGGAGCGAUAUGAACAAUGUAGCUCUAUGAGAGUACCAGGUAAAGAAGCACCGGCUAACUCCGUGCCAGCAGCUGCGGUAAUACGGAGGGUGCAAGCAUUAAUCGGAUUCAUUGGGCGUAAAGGGCGCGUAGGCGGCACAAUAAGUCAGUUGUGAAAUUCCAUAGCUCAACUAUGGACCUGCAAUUGAAACUGUAGUACUAGAGGUUAGGCGGAGAAAACGGAAUUCCACGUGUAGCGGUGAAAUGCGUAGAUAUGUGGAAGAACACCGGUGGCGAAGGCGGUUUUCUAGCUUAAUCCUGACGCUGAGGCGCGAAAGCGAGGGGAGCAAACAGGAUUAGAUACCCGGGUAGUC